rnacentral:rRNA from 1 species
UACGUAGGGUGCAAGCGUUGUCCGGAAUCAUUGGGCGUAAAGAGCGUGUAGGCGGUCCGGUAAGUCUGCUGUGAAAGUCCAGGGCUCAACCCUGGGAUGCCGGUCGAUACUGCCGGACUAGAGUUCGGAAGAGGCAAGUGGAAUUCCCGGUGUAGCGGUGAAAUGCGCAGAUAUCGGGAGGAACACCUAUGGCGAAGGCAGCUCGCUGGGACGUAACUGACGCUGAGACGCGAAAGCGUGGGGAGCAAACAGG